rnacentral:rRNA from 1 species
AUUGAACGCUGGCGGCAGGCCUAACACAUGCAAGUCGAACGAGUGGCGGACGGGUGAGUAAUGUCUGGGAAACUGCCUGAUGGAGGGGGAUAACUACUUGAAACGGUAGCUAAUACCGCAUACCAUCGGAUGUGCCCAGAUGGGAUUAGCUAGUAGGUGGGGUAACGGCUCACCUAGGCGACGAUCCCUAGCUGGUCUGAGAGUAUGACCAGCCACACUGGAACUGAGACACGGUGCAUACUCCUACGGGAGGCAGCAGUGGGGAAUAUUGCACAAGGGGGGCAAGCCUGAUGCAGCCAUGCCGCGUGUGUGAAGAAGGCCUUCGGGUUGUAAAGCACUUUCAGCGGGGAGGCGUGACCCGCAGAAGAAGCACCGGCUAACUCCGUGCCAGCAGCCGCGGUAAUAC